GGGGAAUAUUGCACAAUGGGGGAAACCCUGAUGCAGCAACGCCGCGUGAAGGAUGACGGUUUUCGGAUUGUAAACUUCUUUUCUUAGUGACGAAGACAGUGACGGUAGCUAAGGAAUAAGCAUCGGCUAACUACGUGCCAGCAGCCGCGGUAAUACGUAGGAUGCAAGCGUUAUCCGGAUUUACUGGGUGUAAAGGGAGCGUAGGCGGGACUGCAAGUUGGAUGUGAAAUACCGUGGCUUAACCACGGAACUGCAUCCAAAACUGUAGUUCUUGAGUGAAGUAGAGGCAAGCGGAAUUCCGAGUGUAGCGGUGAAAUGCGUAGAUAUUCGGAGGAACACCAGUGGCGAAGGCGGCUUGCUGGGCUUUAACUGACGCUGAGGCUCGAAAGUGUGGGGAGCAAACAGGAUUAGAUACCCUGGUAGUCCACACUGUAAACGAUGAUAGCUAGGUGUGGGGGGUCUGACCCCUUCCGUGCCGGAGUUAACGCAAUAAGCUAUCCACCUGGGGAGUACGACCGCAAGGUUGAAACUCAAAGGAAUUGACGGGGGCCCGCACAAGCAGUGGAUUAUGUGGUUUAAUUCGAAGCAACGCGAAGAACCUUACCAGGCCUUGACAUCCGACUAACGAGAUAGAGAUAUGUCAGGUGCCCUUCGGGGAAAGUCGAGACAGGUGGUGCAUGGUUGUCGUCAGCUCGUGUCGUGAGAUGUUGGGUUAAGUCCCGCAACGAGCGCAACCCCUGCCAUUAGUUGCUACGCAAGAGCACUCUAAUGGGACCGCUACCGACAAGGUGGAGGAAGGUGGGGACGACGUCAAAUCAUCAUGCCCCUUAUGACCUGGGCUACACACGUAAUACAAUGGCCGUUAACAGAGGGAAGCAAAGCGGUGACGCAGAGCAAAACCCUAAAAACGGUCCCAGUUCGGACUGUAGGCUGCAACCCGCCUACACGAAGUUGGAAUUGCUAGUAAUCGCGGAUCAGCAUGCCGCGGUGAAUACGUUCCCG
rnacentral:rRNA from 1 species